rnacentral:lncRNA from 1 species
CCUUAUGUGCCCCCACAGUCUUGUUAGGAACAGGAGGAGAACCUCAUCCUAACAUGAGCAAAGUCAAAGGCCCGAUCUCUUAAAGACCGGAUGGGGGGAGAGGCCCUUGCAGCGGCCCUUAUGUGCCCCCACAGCCUUGUUAGGAACAGGAGGAGAACCUCAUCCUGACACAAACAAAGGCUCGAUCGAUCAAGACCGAACAAGAAAGAAAGCCUUCUCGACGGCCCCUCUACACUCUCACGACCCCGUC